rnacentral:guide_RNA from 1 species
AAAUCACAAACAGAUAAAGGGCAAGAGAGAUGUAUGAU